rnacentral:miRNA from 1 species
UAUGGCUUCUUAUUCCUAUCUGA